AUUUUUAAUGGAGUGAUGAAGUAUAUUCUGCAUAUGGUCACUUGGGAUGUACGGAACUAAUAGUGAAUCCACCCAUUCGGCAU
rnacentral:ncRNA from 1 species